rnacentral:misc_RNA from 1 species
GCAAACGCUGCCACCAAGCACUGCAAGAAGGCCAUGAAGAUGGGUCUUUCUCUCUUCUGCAGAACCUUCAAUUCUUCUAAAUGCAAGACAAUGGCAAAAAUGACGGUGGCGAGAAUAAAAUUGCUGAGAAACAAGAGGGAGGUGGUUGUGCGGCAAAUGAGGAGAGACAUUGCUAUGCUUCUUGAAUCCCAUCAGGAUGCCACUGCUCGUAUUAGGGUCGAACAUGUAAUAAGAGAACAAAAUAUAUUACAAGCAAAUGAGAUCCUCGAGCUCUUCUGUGAACUUAUUGUGGCUAGGUUAACAAUUAUUGCAAAGCAAAAGCAAUGUCCAGCUGAUUUGAA